AAAAUGUUUUGUCUUGGUUUCUUAUAUAUCUUUGUUAAGUGUGAAGGUCAACUGAAAUACAGAAGCUAAUCAGUGAGGAAGACACAUUGACUGGCUUAUGCUAUUUGGGAGGGACUUUUUUUUGCAGAUUUUGAAUGAAACAAAGCAGCCGUUUUGUAAUAAUACAUCUUCCAACAGAAGGCGUCUGCAAUUCCUAUAAGACGCUUUUGGAAGCAAUCACCAUAAUGCCAAAAUCCUUUCUGUCUUCUAUAAAUUUCCUGCCCAUCGAGCUUGUGCUGCUAGUAAAUUGUAAUAUCUAUCCUUUUAAGCACCUAUAUUAAUGAGAAGACUUAUUAGGUUUGCUUUACAGCUUCAGAUCGUGGUAAUGAUGGAGCUUAUAGUCUUUGAAAUCCUGACUCAAACUAUUCAGUGGUGAAAACUCUUACUACUUGAGAGA